rnacentral:rRNA from 1 species
GGGAUAUUGGACAAUGGGCGCAAGCCUGAUCCAGCCAUGCCGCGUGAGUGAAGAAGGCCCUCGGGUUGUAAAGCUCUUUUGUCCGGAAAGAAAAGCAUCGGGUUAAUACCCCGGUGUUCUGACGGUACCGGAAGAAUAAGCACCGGCUAACUUCGUGCCAGCAGCCGCGGUAAUACGAAGGGUGCAAGCGUUACUCGGAAUUACUGGGCGUAAAGCGUGCGUAGGUGGUUCGUCAAGUCUGAUGUGAAAGCCCUGGGCUCAACCUGGGAAUGGCAUUGGAAACUGGCGGACUGGAGUGCGGUAGAGGGUAGCGGAAUUCCCGGUGUAGCAGUGAAAUGCGUAGAGAUCGGGAGGAACAUCCGUGGCGAAGGCGGCUACCUGGACCAGCACUGACACUGAGGCACGAAAGCGUGGGGAGCAAACA